UACGUAGGAGGCGAGCGUUGUCCGGAGUUACUGGGCGUAAAGGGUGCGCAGGCGGCGUCACGCGUGGAUAGUUGAAAUCUCCUGGCUUACCUGGGAGGGUGGUAUCCAGACGGUGGCGCUUGAGGGUCGGAGAGGGGCGUGGAAUUCCGGGUGGAGCGGUGAAAUGCGUAGAGAUCCGGAGGAACACCGACGGCGUGGGCAGCGCCCUGGACGACACCUGACGCUGAGGCGCGAAAGCGUGGGUAGCAAACGA
rnacentral:rRNA from 1 species